UACGUAGGUGGCAAGCGUUGUCCGGAAUUAUUGGGCGUAAAGAGCGUGUAGGCGGCCAGGUAGGUCUGCUGUGAAAACUCGAGGCUCAACCUCGAGAUGUCGGCGGAAACCAUCUGGCUAGAGUCCGGAAGAGGAGAGUGGAAUUCCUGGUGUAGCGGUGAAAUGCGCAGAUAUCAGGAAGAACACCCGUGGCGAAGGCGGCUCUCUGGGACGGUACUGACGCUGAGACGCGAAAGCGUGGGGAGCGAACAGG
rnacentral:rRNA from 1 species